rnacentral:rRNA from 1 species
CUUGGUCAUUUAGAGGAAGUAAAAGUCGUAACAAGGUCUCCGUAGGUGAACCUGCGGAGGGAUCAUUAUCGUCAGGGAGCUUCGGCCCCGUCGAGAUAGCACCCUUGUCCUCUUCGGCGCACUUGUCUUUGUUUCCUCGGGCGGCUUGUCCGACGGAACCUCCAUCAAAACCUUUUGUAGUGCCUGUAUUAGUCUGAUACCAACAAAAAAAUCUUAACAACUUUCAACAAUGGAUCUCUUGGUUCUGGCAUCGAUGAAGAACGCAGCGAAAUGCGAUAAGUAGUGUGAAUUGCAGAAUUCAGUGAAUCAUCGAAUCUUUGAACGCACAUUGCGCCCUUUGGUUAUUCCUCAGGGCAUGCUUGUUCGAGCGUCAUUCUCACCCUCCAAGCCCCGCUUGGCCAUGGGUGCCUUGUCCCGCCACCGCGCGCGGACUCGCCCCAAACCUACCGGCGGCCGACCCCGUAAGCCUGAGCGCAGCAGAAACGCGCCUCUGGGCGGCAGGGCGCGGCAGGCCUUGUAAAAUGACCCCCCUCGAAGGACCUCGAAUCAAGCAGGAGUACCCGCUGAACUUAAGCAUAUCAAUAAGCGGAGGA